GAUGAACGCUAGCUACAGGCUUAACACAUGCAAGUCGAGGGGAAACGACAUCGAAAGCUUGCUUUUGAUGGGUGUCGACCGGCGCACGGGUGAGUAACGCGUAUCCAACCUGCCCACCACUUGGGGAUAACCUUGCGAAAGUAAGACUAAUACCCAAUGAUAUCCCACGAAGGCAUCCGAAUGGGAUUAAAGAUUUAUCGGUGAUGGAUGGGGAUGCGUCUGAUUAGCUUGUUGGCGGGGUAACGGCCCACCAAGGCAACGAUCAGUAGGGGGUUCUGAGAGGAAGGUCCCCCACAUUGGAACUGAGACACGGUCCAAACUCCUACGGGAGGCAGCAGUGAGGAAUAUUGGUCAAUGGGCGAGAGCCUGAACCAGCCAAGUAGCGUGCAGGACGACGGCCCCUAUGGGUUGUAAACUGCUUUUAUAAGGGAAUAAAGUGAGUCUCGUGAGACUUUUUGCAUGUACCUUAUGAAUAAGGACCGGCUAAUUCCGUG
rnacentral:rRNA from 1 species